ACGUGCUCGUUAUUGUGAAACAGUACACGGAUACAACAAUUUAUGAAAAGAAUUUACUAUCGUAUCGGUAUACGCGUUCGUGAUCGUUAACACUUUUUUAACAAAAGUAUUUCUUUAAAAAGAAAGCAUUUCGAAAAUCAAUUGAGACAUGUAGGCUGACAAACUUGAUUGUUCUAGGACGAGAUGCGAGCGAUUGUUUGACGUCAUUGAUGUGAUGGAGUUUACAAGAUGUCAACUUUACAUGCUCGUCAAAUAACACCAACAAGAUCUGGGAAACACAGGAUUAUACUGGUGCCCUUCAUUGUGUGAUCUCAGAACAGUGGUGUGUCUUAUUCGGUUUCGCUAGAAGGGACACGGAAGCAGCGGGUUCUUUAGUUUCUAGAACUUUGCGGCGUUAUCAACUGGGUUUUUGAAUAGCGUCAUCAGCCAACUAGGUCAGGAAGUUCCGUUCUACAUUCGCACGUAGGUGUAGUCAUCGUCGGCCAUCUGGUAAAUAGUGGUUCGUCCUGACGAGGUCGUCGUCGAUUUAGUAGCUCAAAAAUGCUUUCUAUCAAUGCGGGGCAUUCGCUGACUGUUCAAAGUGAUCGAAUCAAACGAUGUUAUUGAACCGUGAUAUGGCGUUUUAUGUGUAUCAAGUGAGCUUUAUUUGUGCAGUAAUGUUUGUUUCCGAUGUUUUCCUUUUGAAGAUUGAAGUUCAGUAUCAAAUGACUGUUGAAGGAAGUGUUCGUAUUAAAUGCUAUUCGGGUCGACCUUUGACCUUUAUUUUUACCAAUAAUCGAAACAAAACAAUUGAGAUAGCUAGAUGUAUCCCAGGGGAGAUGCAUUUUGUUUGUUACUUGUUCGAAGAAACGUUUAAGAAACAUUAUGCAACAGAUUAUACUCUAGAGAGUGGAAUCUUGGUAAUUUUAAAAUUGGAGCAAGAUGUUUAUGGCCAAUACAACUGCACAGAUGCGUUCGACCCAACACGAACAGAGGGAGUCAUGAUAACAGAUAGGACAAGUAAUGGGAGUCAUGUAUCUAAUAACAGUUUGAUGUCACUAGUUGUUACCGUCAUCUCUAUGUAUGACUUAAUGUCACAGUAAGAUUUUCAAGAACGUUCUACUUCAUGCAUGUUAAUAUGUCAUCAUUCCUCCUUUGUCGUGCAACGGAUCAUGAGAAAACGAAAAGCAUAGUAUACACAGUUUCCAGUGAAAUAUUGUUAAUUCACCGAAUACUCCCAAUACAUUAUUUAGUGCAAAUAUGCAUCGGGACAGAAAACGGGACGGGAACGUAUUAUUCUAAGAAUUAUAGGAUUUGACUUUUUGGAUGUGCAGAAGAACGUGAAUGCUUGAUGUUUAACAGUGCGUGCUUUAUUUGUACAUGUGUAUCAAGUUAUUGGCUGCCAUGUUUAUACGUCAAGAAGGGCGCUUUAAUCCAAUUACUUGAGUUUUCUUUGUGUAUGAUUCUGCGAAAUCAUUUAUAUUCGUAGGCAUGGAAUGUCGUUUUGUUUUUUCAAGACAAAUUCAAUAUUUUCGUGGAAUCUUAUUAAAAUCGGUAAGUUUGUUUUCAGUAUGUUAAGUCUACAUUUGUAAUCCACUUACUACGAAACUUGCUAAGAAUAUUUAAACCUUAUGCUGUUAUGAUAUUUAGACUGAGUUAAAAGUGAUUUUAGUUUAUGAAGAAACAUUUUCGCUUGGUGCUUUUUUUGUGACAACUAGUGAACUCUAAAGUUACGCCUUUUUGCCCUUCUGAUUAUCAAGCCAAUACUGUACGUUAUUUAGCCUCACUUCCAGUAGAAAGGGGUUAUUAUUAAUGUUAUUAUCAUAAGUAUUAUCAUAUAAGUAUAGCCCCACUUUCAGUAGGUAGGAGUUGGGACAUAUAGAAAUUACUCUGUUUUAGUUUUAGUCUGUUUUUAUAUCGGUCUAUCAUUGCAAUUAUCAUGACUAUAACUCCGAAAAAAAGUUUGAAAACUGUUUACUUCUAAUACGAGCCACUGUGUCGCGUGUACGGAGCUUACUUCUAUGUCACGUUAAAACUUUGGUAAAUCAAUACGUUUUUUCCUUGCGUCUGGACUGCAACCCCGAAACAAACUUAGAACACUGUUUUCCUUUAAUAAGAGCCAUUGUGUCGCGUGUACGGAGUUAACUUCUAAGUCACUUAAAAACUUUGGUAAAUCAAUAUGUUUUUGCCAAAAACAAUGUGAACAUUUUGCGUAUCCACAUUAUAACUUGACCAUGCAUCGAAGGAUUGUAAAGUUACUAUUCGAAAAUAACAUUACCUGUACCAGAUGGUGUGUCUUAUUACUCAGAAUUUUUCGCCAAAGUCAGAUCGUUUGUCGCGCGCACGAACCGCGUCUUUCGCUAUGGUCAAUGAAAAACGUCGAAGUAUAACUUCAAGAACUUUAUUGUCGAACCAGGGCUUGUUCUCUUAAUAACUGGACCAAGUGAAAGAUUUUAAACUAACUGAACAAAUUACCAAUAUAAGCUAAUCUGUGUUGCGAAAUAUCCAUGUUGAAUCUUUGGCGUUCAAGGUCCAACUUAAAGGUAAAAAAUAAUUGCUUUAAUGUCAAUAUAUUGCCCACUCUAAUUUUUAUCUACAUUGAAGGAAUUAAACAAAUUUGAUCACUUUAUGAGAUGAUUUGUUGGGCAUAUGAUCCAGAAAGCUGUCAUAGUUUAUUCAAGGUCAUUGUCAACAGUUGACGUCAAGAUAAAUUGUCAAGUUUUUGCUUUUCUUUCAAUAACUUGGUCAUAUAUUGAAUGCAUUUUUCAAAACGAGGCAUAGGUACAGUAUUGACAAGCGCAAGAAACACACAAUCGUUCACAUCGUGUAUUAUUGAUCAAACUUGCAUUGUUCACAGCUGACAAGACUAUAAUAAAGUGUGGCUGGAGGCAAUUUUAAACAUUAUACUACGCUUUAAAGGACUCUUAAAAUGGCUUAUUCUUCUUUAGCGCACCUUAGCAGGAUAUGCAUAUGUAAAGCUUUUCUGAUCGUGUUUUUGUCGAUUCUCCGACCUGCUUUUCGAUUGUCAUUAUUAAUCUUGCAAAAUCGCUUUGUCACAAUCAUCUCUCUGUCGAGUUCCAAACGUGAUUAUUUGGGACAAUGAGUCAUGUGGUCAACUUGUAAAAAAUACACCCUUGUUUACAAAAGUUAUGAAUUUAAAUCAACGCAUUUGGCUUAAUACUGCGAUAACUUUUUUAACAUGUAAGUAACACACCCAAUAUAUACAACCAUAUCAAAGGCAUGCUAAUUCUAAAAUAAACAGGAUAUCAAGUGACCAGUCAAGAGGCGUAUGUAUCCUCUUAUUAUCAUAUAAGUGUAAACACUAAUGAAAAAAAUGUAUAUGUGCAAUUACUCUAUAUAAUUUUUCUUACGUUGUUGUUUACAUAUAUACUAUACAUUUUCUUGAUUUAAUGUUGCGUUUGUUGUUUUCAUGUGUUUCAACAAUAUUCGACAUCUAAGAUGGUAUGGAAUCCCCAACAAUAUUGUAGAAUUAAAAAUAAUACAUUCGAAAAAACGUAUUUAUAAAGCUCAAUAACCGCACAACAGGUACAUAUCGGGCUAGAUCAUGUUUUGUUUGAUUUGCAAUUAAGAUCUUGGUAUUUUUGCAAACGUAAAACAAGUUUGUUUAUGCAUGUAUUUUAUAUGACAAGUUAUUUUUUUUUUGUUCUUUCUGUAUUCAAUAUAAAUUUGAAUAUAUAUGUCAGUAUCUAUAUAUAUGUAUAUAUAAUUGAAUGUACAUGACAUUGUAUUUCAUUUUAAAAUAAAUGCAUAAGGGAUGUGCCAUCGAC